rnacentral:piRNA from 1 species
UGAGAAGUGCUCUAAAAAUGUAUAAAAGGU